AAUCAAAACCUAAAGAAAAUG
rnacentral:miRNA from 2 species